rnacentral:rRNA from 1 species
CGUGAAGUCGGAAUUGCUAGUAAUCGCAGAUCAGCAUGCUGCGGUGAAUACGUUCCCGGGCCUUGUACACACCGCCCGUCACACCAUGGGAGUCGGUAACACCCGAAGCCAGUAGCUGAACCGCAAGGGAGGCGCUGUCGAAGGUGGGAUUGAUGACUGGGGUGAAGUCGUAACAAGGUAAC